AGGCUUCUGCAAACUGAAAAGAUGCAGCUGCUCACCCAGCAAAGCCCACCCGUCCCUGAAUACUGCCAAAGGACCUUCAGAUCAGACAACCGGGUGCCACUGUCCAACUAUCCUGGGUGCAGGUGCACACCUGAAGCUACAAACGAUUCCGUAUAAGGGAAGAGGCUAAGAAGAGGCAAAUCAUUCAAGGUGAGAGAAUCCCUCUUAUCAUGCCAAUGUCCUCCCUUUACAGGAUAACUGUGCAUCUAACCUGAGCUGUGCAACUCAAAUGUCGGACCGCGAUGGACAGGAUUGAUGCUGACACAACAGGCAGCUGCAGCUGUCAGGAGAUGUCAGGGACUCGUGACAUGUCCUGUUACACUAUCCAUUGUAAAACUCCUCGGCCUGGGGAGGUACAAGGUGCUCCCACCUGUGCUGGAAGUGUUUAAUAACUCUUAACACCUUUGAGUUUGGUGGGCCUACCCCCGCCCCACCAAUGGACCAAGACCAUGGUCUCCCUCAGCAGACGUGGAAGCUGCAACUACCAGGUUUCAUCACUGGAUCCAGUGGAUAGUGGCUUUAUACAUCUUUCCACCCUUAUCCUUUCUUUCCCUUUCUCUCCCUUAUGUAUUUCCUUAAGUUUACCUCUAUGCUUUAAUAAUGCUUUAUUGCUGUAGAUUGUUAUGUUUUAAUGGUGCUAUAUUGCUGUGCUUUAAUGUUGCUAUAUCGCUAUGGGUGUUUUACUUUAUGCUUUAAUAGCAUUAUAGCACUAUAGCUUUAUUGCUAUAAGGUGCUUUAAUGUUGGUAUGCUUUAAUAAGUGCUAUAUUGCUACGCUUUAAUGUUGCUAUAUUGCUAUAGAUGCUUUAAUAUUGCUGUAUUGCUAAAGAUGAUAACACCCAAAAUGGCAACAUACCUGUUUACCUUUGAAACAAACUGUUCUAAAAUAAACCCUACAUAUAUAUGUUUACAAACACCAA